rnacentral:tRNA from 14 species
GGAGACGUGGCAGAGCGGCCGAAUGCACUGGUCUUGAAAACCAGCGUGGGUCAAACCACCGCGGGUUCAAAUCCCGCCGUCUCCGCCG